AACCGUGGCUACGUCUACGAUGCUGUCGUCUCUGCUUACUCUGGUCUCGCGUUCCCACCGAACACUACUAGAGCAUCUAGUGCCGGCGCGGUUGUGUCUGUGCAGCUUCUAUGUGGCUGCUCGAGUGGUCUCUGGAACUACCUUAUGAGCUACGUGACGGUCUCUGGAGACAGUGUUCAAUCUCUCUCGAGCCGGUUCGGUGUUAGUAUGGAUCGAAUCGAGCAGGUUAACGGAAUCUCGAAUCCUGACAAUGUCACAACCGGAGAUCUCAUUUUCAUCCCUCUUGAUUCUGGUAAAGAAUCUUCAAUUUGAUUAUCUUGAAUUAGGCAUGGGCAUUUCGGGUAUCGGUUCGGUUUUGGGUUUUUCAGUUCUGGUUUAGGAAAUUCGGUGUGGUUUUGGUUUGAUUAUUUAGAUUCGGCUUGGGUAAUAAGGUUGGGAUCCGGCUAACAUCCGAGAUAAUUUUGGGUCUAAUUCAGUUCAGUUCUGGUUUUCCGGUUAAUUCGGGUUUAAAAAUCAGAUAAUUCAGGUUUUUGGAGUUACAUUAUCAUAUCUUUUUAGGUUUUAAGACAAAACAGUUUAAUGAUCUUGUUCUUGUCGUCUUGUUUAAGUGCCUGGAGUGCUUUAUGAAGCAAGGAAGAUAAACCCUCCUGCUCCUUCUCCUUCUCCUGUUUUAACCAAUAGCAAUAUCUCAGGUUCUGAUUUAUUUUUGUCUUAACUGAAUCUGAGGGUUUACUAUUUUUAGUAUCAUGAGACUCACAUUUAUAUAUAUUUUCCAAUUUUGGAAAAAGCUGCUGACCAGGUGAAUCACACUUCAAAGGGAGGUCAUGUCCCUUAUAUAUGGAUUGUUGGUGGUCUUACAGUUGUGCUUGCGCUUCCCGUCUCUGUACUUCCUUCCUCGCUUUCAAACCAAACCCAAACCAAACCUUCUCCAUAAUCCAAAGCAUGUUCGACGCAUUGCCAUCCGACAUAACCGCAGAUUCCACCGGAGAAGACGACGGAGGAGGUUACAUCUACGUCAAGAAGAACUGUUCUUGUCUCACCACGACUCCUCAUCAGUACGCAACGAACACGACAUUCACAAUCAGACAGAACCGUGGCUACGUCUACGAUGCUGUCGUCUCUGCUUACUCUGGUCUCGCGUUCCCACCGAACACUACUAGAGCAUCUAGUGCCGGCGCGGUUGUGUCUGUGCAGCUUCUAUGUGGUUGCUCGAGUGGUCUCUGGAACUACCUUAUGAGCUACGUGACGGUCUCUGGAGACAGUGUUCAAUCUCUCUCGAGCCGGUUCGGUGUUAGUAUGGAUCGAAUCGAGCAGGUUAACGGAAUCUCGAAUCCUGACAAUGUCACAACCGGAGAUCUCAUUUUCAUCCCUCUUGAUUCUG
rnacentral:lncRNA from 1 species